GAUGAAGAACGGAGCGAAAUGCGAUACGUAAUGUGAAUUGCAGAAUUCAGUGAAUCAUCGAAUCUUUGAACGCAUAUUGCGCUCUCUGGUAUUCCGGAGAGCAUGCUUGUUUGAGUAUCAGUAAACACCUCAACUUCCAUAUUUUUUUUUGAAAUGGGAGUUGGACUUGAGUGAUCCCAACGCUUUUCCUCACCGAAAAGUGGCGGGUUACUUGAAAUGCAGGUGCAGCUGGACUUUUCUCUGAGCUAUAAGCAUAUCUAUUUAGUCUGCCUAAAAAACAGAUUAUUACCUUUGCUGCAGCUAACAUAACGGAGAUUAGUUCUUGUGCUGACUGAUGCAGGAUUCACAAAGACAGCUUCGGCCGACUUUGUAAACUCGAUCUCAAAUCAAGUAAGACUACCCGCUGAACUUAAGCAUAUCAAUAAGCGGAGGA
rnacentral:misc_RNA from 1 species